CCUACGGGUGGCUGCAGUAACGAAUAUUCCGCAAUGGGCGAAAGCCUGACGGAGCAAUGCCGCGUGCAGGAUGAAGCAGCUUCGCUGUGUAAACUGCUGUCAGGGGUGAGAAACACUGAUCAGCCCCAGAGGAAGGACCGGCUAAACUCGUGCCAGCAGCCGCGGUAAGACGAGUGGUCCAAGCGUUAGUCGGAAUCACUGGGCUUAAAGGGUGCGUAGGCGGAUCGGUAAGUGCUUUGUGAAAGCCCCUGGCUCAACCAGGGAACCGCAGGGCA
rnacentral:rRNA from 1 species